CUGUGAUCGUUGCGCUGAUGUGCGACGGAGUCCGUAGCGAUUACAGCGAGUUUUUCAGACGUCCAUCGCACCGUGCACAACAACAUUUCAGGUGCACGGCCCGAACACGGGAGAGAACGCUGAGCGUUACAAC
rfam:Corynebacterium glutamicum ATCC 13032 DNA, complete genome.